rnacentral:lncRNA from 1 species
CAACCCUCUCAGAAUCCACUGUUGCUAUGUCAACAAAGCAGCUGGGGAAAUUGGAAAAUGAGGUUGGCUUUGACAAUAUGGCCGGUGUUUCCUCCUCACAGAACAAUCAACUGAUCCAGGGCUCUCCCAAAGGAAGAAACAGGGAACAUUCAGACUCGGCAGCUGAUGGGACACCACGAGGCUCCUCCUCUGGCUCUUCCUGGUUCAGCUUCACCUCAGGAACAUUUCAGGAGGGCCAUCUCCCGCUGCGCUGCGCUUUUUGAAAAGCCCUUGUAAGAAGCAACAGUCCCACUGCCUACUCUUUUCUCCCUCCUUUCCCUGUUCCUCCAGGUAGGCGCACUAAGAACGAUUUCCUUUGUGGGAAAUGAAGCAGACCCCGGCCGCAGAGGAUCCGUUGUCAUUUCUGAGGUGCAUUUAACUUAAAUAGCCAGGAGAUCUGGAGCCCCCAAAACAGGUCCCUGCAGUGUGGGUGUUCAGACACACGUGUUCCCUUCCUGUGACUGAGGAAGAAGAUGGGUGGAGCAAUGCCCUCUGCUGGAGCGAUGCCUCAUACUGCGUGGACAGAUGUGUGUGGGUGACCUAGCUGCCUGCCUUUUGUUCUCCGGUCUCUCACCCUGUUAUUUCUUCAACUCCCAACCACCGCACAGUUUUUUGUACUCAUGCGGCAUUCUUAACCUCUGACUUGAGUUUUGAGUGGUGUGGAAAACAAAGGAAGAAGUGGGAGGUGGUGAUGGUCUGUGACAUCACGGCCUCAUUCUGAUCUCACAAUCUCAUAGUUACAGGACAUUUCCUCUACCCUCCCUGCCUGGUAUUUGAAAAACUGAAAUCACCUCUACUUAGUGGGUUGGAGAAUGAAAAUGAGAUGGAGUUGCUUUGUAAAGUGUCCGGCCUGUUCUGCGUGUGCCAGGAAAGGUUGU